CGCACCUUGCGCUCCAUGGUAUUCCGUGGAGCAUGCCUGUUUGAGUGUCACGUUAACCCUCAUUCAUGUAGUGUCAUAACUGCAUGAAUGGAUUUGGACGUUGCCGUAGAGGCUCGUCUCAAUUGUAUUAGCUGUGCGCCCAUUAGUGUGCUCGGUGUCUGCCGUGGUAAUUCUCUCGGCUCACCUCAUGCCACUUCCAGUGACGCUGCUUCCAAUGGUCCCUUGUGGACAAUUGAAUUAAAGCUUUGGCCUCAAAUCAGGUAGGACUACCCGCUGAACUUAA
rnacentral:misc_RNA from 1 species